rnacentral:lncRNA from 1 species
CCAAACUGCAAUGCUGCUUUUCACAUCCUAUUGUCAUUUUUAAACUGUGUUAAAGAAAUAUUAAAUUCUAUACAUUUUAUAUCAACUUCUUUAUUUUUUGUGAAUGAGCAUAAUUAUGUUUUCUGGGUUACCUUGCCAUAUGGAUGCAUGCUCUCUGAGUGACAUUUAUUGUUGGUCUGACAAUCACCUGCUUACAAUCUUUCAAGUGGAAGGAGAGAUGCAGAACAACAGAGAUGGGCAGAGUCAUCGAAUAUUGUGGCCUCCUUAUUGUGAGAAACACUGAUGACUGCCUACCCCACACAGUCAUCCCCCAACACCCCUACCAUCAUAUGCUCUGGAAAGGAGGAUCCUCCCCUAGUUCCUGUGGUGAAUCAUAAUUGGUCUGGAAAAGAUGUUCCUCACUGAUAAAAAGAGAAGCAUGAGAGGAAACUCUUCUUUAAUCCACCUCUGCAUGUGAUCAUCUGCAUUUGACUCCUUGAACUAUGGCAGCCAGCUGGAGCCAUGAAGUAAGCCACCCUAACAUGAGUGGCAGAAACAUGGAGAGAAUUUUAAAGCUGGACAAGACCCUCAGAAAGCAGAUAAUCAAAGUACCUCAAUCAAUUGAAGUCCUGGGACAUUAAGCAAUUUAUCCAAGGUCACAAAGCAAGUUACAAUGGAGCCACCAUUUACCUCUUGAAGGAGGAAACAGACCAUCAAUUCUGAAGAAUAGACUUUUGUCUCCAGAUUUAAUGGUUUUCCCUUUCUGCUGUUAGUAUAGAGAUCUUCAGUGUCUAAUGAGUAAGACAGUCUAAAAUUUUUCAUUUUUCAAAGAACAAAAACUCCUGACAUCUGCUUUCUUCCCUUCCCUAGCAUUAAAGAAAAAAAGAAAAAAACAAAAACAACUUGUCGUUGUGAUUGGAAUAAUGGUUUUGCUUUCGAUGAGGCACUAAUGACCCUAUGUCUGUUCUUCAUUAUCAUUUGAGAGUUACAGAAAUCUCACGGAAGCUAGGAAUAUUGCCAAUUAUAGCACCGCAGAUUUGGAGGUUUGGGAAAAGACAUCAUACAGAAGAGGGAGGCAGUGUUUCUCAGGACUUACUCUCCUAACAAGGUGGUGAAGUCUACAUUUUGAGGUUGUUCCAAGUACCACAACCCUGAAG